rnacentral:rRNA from 1 species
UACGGAGGAUCCGAGCGUUAUCCGGAUUUAUUGGGUUUAAAGGGUGCGCAGGCGGGAGAUUAAGUCGGCGGUGAAAUUUUGCAGCUCAACUGUAAAAGUGCCAUCGAUACUGGUUUUCUUGAGUGUAGAUGAAGUAGGCGGAAUUUGUGGUGUAGCGGUGAAAUGCAUAGAUAUCACGAGGAACUCCGAUUGCGCAGGCAGCUUACUAAACUACUACUGACGCUCAGGCACGAAGGCGUGGGGAUCAAACAGGAUUAGAUA